GAUGAACGCUGGCGGCGUGCCUAAUACAUGCAAGUCGAGCGAACAGACGAGGAGCUUGCUCCUCUGACGUUAGCGGCGGACGGGUGAGUAACACGUGGAUAACCUACCUAUAAGACUGGGAUAACUUCGGGAAACCGGAGCUAAUACCGGAUAAUAUAUUGAACCGCAUGGUUCAAUAGUGAAAGACGGUUUUGCUGUCACUUAUAGAUGGAUCCGCGCCGCAUUAGCUAGUUGGUAAGGUAACGGCUUACCAAGGCAACGAUGCAUAGCCGACCUGAGAGGGGGAUCGGCCAAACUGGAACUGAGACACGGUCCAGACUCCUACGGGAGGCAGCAGGAGGGAAUCUUCCGCAAUGGGCGAAAGCCUGACGGAGCAACGCCGCGUGAGUGAUGAAGGUCUUCGGAUCGUAAAACUCUGUUAUUAGGGAAGAACAUAUGUGUAAGUAACUGUGCACAUCUUGACGGUACCUAAUCAGAAAGCCACGGCUAACUACGUG
rnacentral:rRNA from 1 species